GAUGAACGCUAGCUACAGGCUUAACACAUGCAAGUCGAGGGGAAACGACAUCGAAAGCUUGCUUUUGAUGGGCGUCGACCGGCGCACGGGUGAGUAACGCGUAUCCAACCUGCCCACCACUUGGGGAUAACCUUGCGAAAGUAAGACUAAUACCCAAUGACGUCUCUAGAAGACAUCUGAAAGAGAUUAAAGAUUUAUCGGUGAUGGAUGGGGAUGCGUCUGAUUAGCUUGUUGGCGGGGUAACGGCCCACCAAGGCGACGAUCAGUAGGGGUUCUGAGAGGAAGGUCCCCCCACAUUGGAACUGAGACACGGUCCAAACUCCUACGGGAGGCAGCAGUGAGGAAUAUUGGUCAAUGGGCGAGAGCCUGAACCAGCCAAGUAGCGUGCAGGAAGACGGCCCUAUGGGUUGUAAACUGCUUUUAUAAGGGAAUAAAGUGAGAGUCGUGACUCUUUUUGCAUGUACCUUAUGAAUAAGGACCGGCUAAUUCCGUG
rnacentral:rRNA from 1 species